AUGAAAAGUUGAUGGAGAAUCCUGUGAUUCAUGGCAGUAAGGAUACAUUGGAGAAGAUAACAAGCAAGAAGGAAUGAGGCUCCUUCAUGUCCUGAAUCCUUCUCAGGAAGGGACCAUGUAAUAAUGUACAGAACAAGUUAAUUGAGGAAGCUAUGGAAGUACGGUGAUCAGAAAAUGUGCAAUGGUCUCUGAUGUACAGAGAUACUGUCUACAAGCACUAAUGUCUCAGCUGGUUUUCCUCCAUCAUCUUGUCUGCUAUUUAUUUUUGAUCCUAAUGGUUUAAUCAGUGCUACGUGGACUGAAUACUUCAUAUACCUGGAGUUCACGGAGGGCUACAGCAGCAGGUUGCAAGAGGCUCAUGAGUAAUUGGACAAAGCAGAGUCUUGCCAUACCAACAGGCAUGGAAAAGCCGGGAAAGAUUUCUGUAUAGAGAGAUGGAGGGACCACAGCUGCUUGAUUCGGAAAGCAAAUAAAAAAGGUAAAUGUAUGAAUAGAGUCAAUAUGGAGUGGAAGAUGCACAAAAUAAUAAAAAGAAAAUCAAGGUCUCCUACUUAUUGCUGAACAUAAUGCCAAAACAAGGCAAUUUGAAAUGGAAGUGGAAAGCAGCAUAUCCUGAGUGGUAUAUUAUUAAUUUAUGGUAUUGAUUGGCACAUCAAAAUGAAGGAUUUAGUAAAAAUAAAAGCAAGAAGAAGUCUGUGUAUGGAUAAUAAUAAGAUCUUAACCUGUUAGACAGCACUGGAUGACACAAGCCAAGGAAACAAAAGGCAGGGCCUUAAUUAAUUGGCAGUAGACUUCUUGUCCCUUCAUUUUGUCAGUAAUCUGAACAGGAGUUUCAGAUGGCCAGAUCAUUUCUCUGGUCAUGCGUUGCAAUGCUGUACAGACAAGGUUACACAUGAUUUUGCUAAAAUGCUCAGAAAGGCUUCUGUGUACCCACAUUUCCAGUUAAAAUACAUUUAGUGUGACUUCAAUUGCAUGUGCCAUGGACAGCUUGGUGUCAGCCUCAGCUGCUUUUCACAGCCUAAGAAGUAUUAAGGAAUGUGAAUUUGACAAGAAACAACUGAAGAGGAGUACACUCAUUCCUAAGGGCUUCAGCAGCAGUGCAGAUGGAGACUGCCAUGCCCUCGCUUUUUACCGAGUGGUUCAUUCACAGUACACCUGGGUUUGUAACCCAGCAAGCCCCAGAAAUUGUGUAAAUGCAUCUUCUGUGCCUGGCCUGAGUAUCUGGUGGGUUCCUUACUGUCCAGCAAACACCUACAGACUUGGCUGCUGUUUGGGAAAAGGGAAAGGAUCAAGGCAAUUCCUGGGACACUGCAGGGACUAAGCCCCAGAGAUGACAGUGGAUCCCUGCUCCCAAGCCUGAUAAUAGUGUUGUACAACUGCAAUAUUUUUUCAG
rnacentral:lncRNA from 1 species